UCUCUUGCUGGCAUGAGAGCAAUGGAAGUGUCAGUUUGCUUGUCAGAGGCUCCUUUGCCUGGAGCAUAGAUCAGAGCCUGGGUGGCCGUGUGCCAGGCUUCUCUCCAGCACAGAUGGGAAGGCCAGGGGUAAUUACCCUGCCCUGGCCACUUGCCUUCCUGUGUGAAAUUAUAGAAAAGUAGGAGACAGUGUCUCCACCCGAUUCUUAUCCUUCAUCAUUUCCAGGGAAGGGAUAAAGACAAGCACACACCUCGAUCUCAUGCAGGCAGGAAGGCUGCCUGGAACCUCUCCCCUCUAAGGACAGUUUUGGAGGAGGACAAGCCUGCUGUGGAGGGUACAAGCAAAGAGAUUACCCGUCUCUGCCCUCCGCUGUGGCUUGCCAUGUCUCCUGUCUCCGAUCUCCUCUGCCCAGUCUUCAAUGGGAACACUAGACGAUCCUGGGCUGUCUGCUCACUACCAGUCAAGACUGGAACUUGAGGUUUCUGUGUCCUCACUAGGAAUCAAGAAUGGAUAAGACAAGCAUGAGCCAAUGGUAUGCACAGAAGGAGAAGAUAACUCCAAGGUACCAAGGCAGCAAUCGCCACCAGAGUCUCCUGGACCAGAGAAAGAUACUUCCCUAAGUAGAAUGAGCCCACCAGGUCCUCUCAUCAACUACUGCUCGGAACCAUGUUGACAACUCCAGAAACAAACCUAGUUUGUAAAAAAAAAAAAAAAAAAAAAAAAAAAAAAAAAAAAAAAAAAAAAAACCAAACAAACAAAAGACAAAACAAACCCAAAAACGGUGUGUGUCUCCUUUGUCCUAAGGGGGUUUUAAUGAAAGCAAAUGCCUCUGUCCUCUCUUUCACAGAAUCUCAGGACACUGGUCAGAGAGACACUAACUCUGCAUCAUCAUCCUACCUCCUUGAAUCAUUGGGCCCAUUCUAUUAAAGAAAAUUAUUGAAAGAAGGGAACCACAAGUCCUUUGCUCAUCUCGCCUAAUCUUAAACGAUUGUACCCUUUCUAUGUCCCUCAUCCUGACUGUGUAAAGUAAUUUUAAAAAACAAGCAGAAAACAACGAGCAAGCAUGAACUGCUGACAUAAAAUGGAAUCUGAGUAUAGGAGGGUGAGUAAAAUAGAUCUCCCUGAACCCAUAUCGCCACCCCCAGAGUCCCUGAGAGGCAUACCCUGUUGGGCUGCAGG
rnacentral:lncRNA from 1 species